rnacentral:rRNA from 1 species
GCUCAACCGGGGAGGGUCAUUGGAAACUGGGAAACUUGAGUGCAGAAGAGGAGAGUGGAAUUCCACGUGUAGCGGUGAAAUGCGUAGAGAUGUGGAGGAACACCAGUGGCGAAGGCGACUCUCUGGUCUGUAACUGACGCUGAGGAGCGAAAGCGUGGGGAGCGAACAGGAUUAGAUACC